rnacentral:rRNA from 1 species
GACGUAGGGGGCGAGCGUUGUCCGGAUUUACUGGGCGUAAAGAGCGCGCAGGCGGUCGGAUAAGUCGAAUGUGAAAGCCCCCGGCUCAACUGGGGAGGGUCAUUCGAUACUGUUCGACUCGAAGGCAGGAGAGGGAAGUGGAAUUCCCGGUGUAGUGGUGAAAUGCGUAGAUAUCGGGAGGAACACCAGUGGCGAAGGCGACUUCCUGGCCUGUUCUUGACGCUGAGGCGCGAAAGCUAGGGGAGCAAACGGG